UCCAACUAUUAGUCUCUCCUAUAUUGUUCAACAGAUUUCUCUUUAUUCUUCUGCAAAAAACAAUUAUUUCAAACCGAAAGGAAAAGAGAAAACGUUAAGGGCAGAACCGACCCCUUCUUCUUCUUCGUGAUGAAACUUCUGAAGCCUCAGAAAAAGGAAUCAGGUUUAUAUUAAAUCUACGAGACUUUACAUCAGGUAGGGAAAAAUAAAGAAGUUUGUGUGGGGUUUUGUAACAGAGCAGUGGCUGCGUGGCUUCCUACAGAGAACCCAGAUCAACUGAAACUUCUCUAAAUGUUCCACUUUCCAAUUUCGUAGCUUAAAUGGUUAAGAAUCCGAGCGUCUGUUAAAGAUUUCUGGUCAACAAGCACAAUUGAUAUGGAAAAUAUCACCUUUACGUCUUAGGGAAGAAGCAUAUCAUCCAGCUAGACUUUUGAUUCUCAAUCUAUUUCCAGAAACUCAAAUCCCCUGCCUGAGUUUGUAAACCAAGGCCUUCUUCUUUGGAAUCAGACAAGUGAGCGUUGUGUGGGCAAGGAAAGACCUAAUAACAACCCACCUGAUCGCAAUCAAGGAUCCAAGAUAAAUUGGAACGCAGCAUCGUAUGAUAGCCUUAAAAACGCUGAAGUAAUGGGUCCACUUGUCAUCCGUCUCCUCACUGCCCUCACGAUGGAGGUCUACUUGUCUUUAUGGAACGAAGCGGCAGCAAAUGUAUAGGAGUCUCCUACUCAGGGGAUAGAACUCAAUUUGUCAUUGUGGUAACAACUGUGAUCCAAAACAAAAUUGGAGGAGCUGCAUUAUGGAAUUGGUGCAAUGAUAAGCAAGAGUUGCCACUUUGUGGAACACCCAACGCCCACUCCAGUUUAGUUUGUUUGUAAAACUCUGAUUUUUAAGCUCAAAUGGAUCAACAAAGACAAGGUGAUUGGCCCAAAUAGUCCACACCAACUUUUUAGUGACAACUUGGGACAGUAAACACAUUCUACAAGAAUGGAAUCUCUUGUCUUAAGACAUUGAAGUAAGAUCAUCAGGUAACGAGAAAACACCGAAAGAGAUUUGAGGGUUAAUUAUGUUAUGAAUCAAAACAGUGUCCACGACCCCGCGCUUGCGCGGGGUUUUUGCCCCUAGUAAAAGAGAGUGUUGAUGAUGUAAAAAUUGUAUAUGUGGAAUUGUGGUGAGAAUAAUGGAAAACAGAUGUUAUUUAUAGAGAAAAAAUAAUCAAUUUU